UUCUUGAAACCAAUUACAUCAAUAUUUAUCCAAAUAUAUAGAAAGCAAUUUUGAUAAGACCUGUUAGUUUUAUAUUCAAGAAAAAAGAUUGCACUAUUGCAUUGUGUUUUCAGUUUUCCCCUUUGUUAAAGUUAUGCUUCCAGAACUCUUAUUUAUUGCAACAUUUUAAUUUAGUUUAAAAAAGUUUACCCAUUACAUUGAUUAUGUUUUGUGGUAUGUGUUUGUAGAAGCUGUCAUCACAUGUUUUAUUUUUAUUGGAAAGACAGAGAAGAAGUUUUCUUGAAACCGGAUCCUCUCACCCCAAAUAUCAACUUAUACGCCCCAACCCCUCUGAAGCGAACACUUGAAAUAUUCUUUCGUUUGAUCUCAGCAAACCAAAUGUCCAGAAUCUUGAAGCAAAGCAGAGACAUAACGAUUGAUUUUCAUCCACUUUUUUCUUCGAUAUCUCUGCUUUCACCCAAAUCGACGCUUCUCACAGGCGAUGGCCAUAGUGGACAGAGGGUUUGUUUUUUCCAGUCUGAUUCCACUAUCUGUUCCUCAAUUUUACAAGCGUGAGAUCAGGAAGACAGAGAAGAAAUUUUGGUUAUAUUUACUGCUGCUGUUAUUCUUUUUCAGCAAGAUGCCAAGAAGUUGGUUCACGUUAUGAGAUGUUGGCUGAAUUGUCGAGAAGAGAGGGAGAUGCAAACAUAAAACCUGAUCCAGAUAUCGAUGUCUUCAUGAAGGCUGCUGCUACUGAAGGUUAAGAAGGUUGUCAAGUGUGGUCUGUAGCAGGAUUACAGACUUAAUGUAUGUCAAACUAAUGAUGAGGGGUAUCCAUGUCAUUUCAUUGCCACUCUUAUGGAAGGAGUCUUUCUCACUAUUUUGUUGGCCCUCAUGAAUCCAAUUUUGCUCCUGGCAGGGUUUCCGAUGACAGUUAGUUAACUGACUGGUUCUUCCAUGGGUGGUGGUAUGAAGGUUUUGGUGAAAGAAGGGAACAGGGGAGCUAGGGAGCCCUUGCUGACAUUAGAAAAAGAAAAAGGAAAGUCCCAACUGUAUUUAUACUUUAUACUAAUAAAAUUAGCAUUAACAAGUAUUAAAUAGGUAUGGCCUGUAAUUGUUUUAUAUCCAGGUUGAAGAGUAGUAGCUUUUAUUUCAAUGGGAAUGCUUAAAGUUGUUGGUUGGUUUAAAAGGGAAAAGAUAUUGUUCAAGAAUCUUGAUUUGGACAUGAAGGACAGGGUUAGGAAAAUUGAAGGAAACCCUGAUUUCUGUUGCUUCAUCUCAACAAAAUACUGUAAAUCAAGGAUGCUUCCAAUGGUAAUGGAUAAGGCAAGGGUAUUAAAGAUAUAUAUAUAUAUAUAUAUAUAUAUAUAUAUAUUGUCCAGAAGAGUGUUUCACUAGCAACAAUGUCACUUGUUUUAAAGAUAAGAAACUCUGAAUACUCUGGUUUGAAUAAUGCAAGUGAAUCCCUUAAACAUGCCAUGCAACUUGUUAUUGGGAUCUGCAUCAAUUGAGAAGCUUCUGUCCAAAAGGGGCAUCAACAUAAUCUUUUAUCUCCCUUGUUGAAGCACUGAAGAUGAGUGAUGCAAGAGUAUUAUUGUCAGCUCUUCACAAUGUCAUUCACAUUUUAUUCAAGGUCAUUGAUCUUGCUCCUAAUUGCUGCCUAGAAUCCACCUGAGUCGCUUGUUGACUGUUUUAACUGGUAAGUUAUUGGUGACAUGGGGUCUAUGCAUUUGACAAUUCUAUGACCUUUAUUAUAUUUACCUUUGAUGACGUGUCAAAUACAUGCCAUGCCAUGUAACCUCACCAAAACUUACCGGUUGGUUGGUUAAACGGGGAAUAGAAUGUCACCAAAACUCUAUGAUUCUUGGAUGGAACAGGUGACACAGCAUCAUGUUCUGUUCUGAACUUGUUAACUAAUAAUUAAAUAUUCUCAUCUUAUUACAUCAUUUUUAACUCCUUAAUUUAUAUUAAUUUCCCAGGUGUCUAUGCUAUUUAUAUUUAAUGACUGGUUUUCCACUUUUCACAGUGGAAUUUGACAGGGUUUCUUUUUGCCAGUUUGAUUCAACCAUUUGUUUCCCAAUUUCACAUUUACUUGAGGUAUUUUUGGUUUUAAUUUAACUGAAUUUUACUAGAGCUGUGAAGUGCCUACGUUUCACCAAACUUACACUUUUAUUGGGCUUGUGACCUAUUUUUUUAUUUAUUAGAUUAGGGAUUCUGUUAUGGAAUACUAUAAUUGUAGGUUGUUUGUGCCUUUUUAAUUUUCAUGAACAUAAACUAAUGUUUUACUCUUUUUACAGGAUGUUGCCACCUGAAACCAUGGUGGGCCAACCUCAUCUGGAAACCAACAUCUCCAAAGAAGCUGUCAUCACAUGUUUUAUUUUUAUUGGAAAGACAGAGAAGAAGUUUUCUUGAAACCGGAUCCUCUCACCCCAAAUAUCAACUUAUACGCCCCAACCCCUCUGAAGCGAACACUUGAAAUAUUCUUUCGUUUGAUCUCAGCAAACCAAAUGUCCAGAAUCUUGAAGCAAAGCAGAGACAUAACGAUUGAUUUUCAUCCACUUUUUUCUUCGAUAUCUCUGCUUUCACCCAAAUCGACGCUUCUCACAGGCGAUGGCCAUAGUGGACAGAGGGUUUGUUUUUUCCAGUCUGAUUCCACUAUCUGUUCCUCAAUUUUACAAGCGUGAGAUCAGGAAGACAGAGAAGAAAUUUUGGUUAUAUUUACUGCUGCUGUUAUUCUUUUUCAGCAAGAUGCCAAGAAGUUGGUUCACGUUAUGAGAUGUUGGCUGAAUUGUCGAGAAGAGAGGGAGAUGCAAACAUAAAACCUGAUCCAGAUAUCGAUGUCUUCAUGAAGGCUGCUGCUACUGAAGGUUAAGAAGGUAGCGUACUCACAGAUUAUACUCUCAAGCUAUUGGGAUUUGGAACAUCUCAUCUCUUUUGAAGGACAGGGUUAGGAAAAUUAAAGGAAACCCUGAUUUCUGUUGCUUCAUCUCUCAACAAAAUACUAUAAAUCAAGAAAAAACUGUAAAUCAAGGUGAACUACCACAUAUUAUAUACCAGGUUUGUUGUCUAUAUAUGUUUUUGUUUUUAGAGUAUUCACUAUCUGAUUUGCUGAUGCUUUUUAGAUAUUGUUCAAGAAUCUUGAUUUGGACAUGAAGGCAGUUACUCCAUUUCCCUGCUGUUCCUUUGGUUGAAGAUAUGAAUAUGUUUUUUAUUUUUCUCUUUUGAUUGCAACUGCCAACUAGAUAAUUAAAAACUGUUUGCUGAAAAACUUAUUGAUCCUUUACUUUUGCAGGGUGCUUCCAAUGGUAAUGGAUAAGGCAAGGGUAUUAAAGAUAUAUAGUUUCUACUAUAAAUAUUGUCCAGAAGAGUGUUUCAAGCAACAAUGGCACUUGUUUUAAAGAUAAUUAAGAAACUCUGAAUACCAUGGUUUGAAUAAUGCAAGUGAAUCCCUUAAACAUGCCAUGCAACGUGCUAUUGGGAUGUGCAUCAAUGGAGAAGAUUCUGUCCAAAAGGGGCAACAAUUUAAUCUUUUAUCUCUCUUGUUGAAGCACUGAAGAUGAGUGAUACAAGAGUAUUGUUGUCUGCUCUUCACAAUGUCAUUUAGAUUUUAUCCAAUUGCUAGAAUCCACCUGAGUCGCUUGUUGACCGGUUUAACUGGUAAGUUAUUGGCGACAAGGUGUCUAGUUGGUAUGCAUUUGAUGACGUGUCAAUUACAUGCCAUGUCACCUCACCAAAACUUACCGGUGGUUAAAUUGGGAAUAGAACAUUUUUUCAGUGGAACCAAAACUCUAUGAUUCUUGGAUGGAACAGGUGACACAGCAUCCUGUUCUGCUCUGUUCUAAACCUGUUUCCUAAUAAUUAAUUAUUCUCAUCUUAUUACAUCAUUUUUAACUCCUUAAUUUAUCAAUCUAAUCAUUAUUAAUUUCAUUCUUGUAAAACCAGGUGUCUAUGCCAUUUAAUGACUGGUUUUCCACUUUUCACAGCGGAAGUGGACAGAUGGUUUCUCUUUGCCAGUUUUAUUCCACCAUUUGUUUCUCAAUUUCAGAAUCUUGAGGUAUUUUUGAAUCCUUUUGGUUUUAAUCUGUUAACCAAAUUACUAGAGGUGGGAAGUUCCUUUGUUGCAUUAAACUUACACUUUUAUUGGGCUUGUGACCUAUUUUUUUAUUUAUUAGAUUAGGGAUUCUGUUAUGGAAUACUAUAAUUGUAGGUUGUUUCUGCCUUUUCAAUUUUCAUGAACGCAAACUAAUAUUUUACUCUUUUUACAGGAUGUUGCCACCUGAAACCAUUGUGGGCCCCUUUAAACCUAACCUCAUUUGGAAACCAACAUCUCCAAAGGAGCUGUCAUCACAUGUUAUGGGAAAGACAGAAGAAAAUUUCUUUUACCAAAUAAUAUUCAUAUUUAGUCCAAGGUAUGUCAUCUCCUACUGCUGUUAUUCUUUUUCAAUUUCAAAUUUUUCAUUGACAUUAUAAGAUACAAUUGUGUGAUACUCCAGAAAUAGGAAAGUACUUUCAUUUCAUAAUUCAUACUCCAGGUAUGUUCCACCACUAAACCACUCUAUAUUUUGCUGUGUGUCAUAAAUUCAGUCAUGUCCUGCUUCUCUUUGUCUUUUACAAUUAGCAUUGUGCUUUAAUUUUACUUUGAAAAAACUUCCCAUUAACUCAUUGUGCAUUCAAAAACAUCCAUUUUGCAUUGAGUUUUCAUAAAUCCUCCUAUUUUUAGCAUCCUACUUUCACUUUUCUUUAUCUAACAUCAAUGAAACAUCAGACUUCUCUUUUUCUCAUCUAUGCAUUUUACUUUGAAACAACUUCCCUUUAAAGCAUUCUACUUUCAAUAAAAAUCAUCCAUUUUGCAUUGAAUUUUCAAAAAUCAUCCCAUUUUUAUUUAGUGUUCUACUUUUACUUUUCUUUCUAUAACACCACUGAAACAUCAAACUUUACUUUUCUCAUCUAUGCAUUUUACUUUUUAAAAAAUUUCCAAUUAAAGCAUUCUGUUGUCCACCAAAUUCUACUUUCAAAAUCAUCCCUUUUUUUAGCAUUGUACUUUAACUUUUCUUUUUGUAACAUCAUUAAAACAUCAAAUUCUCUUUUCUCAUCUAUGCAUUUUACUUUCAAAAAAUUCCAAAUAAAGCAUUUUACUUUCAAAAAUUUCUAUUUUACAUUGAAUUUAAAAAAAUCAUCACAUUUUUAACAUUGUACUUUACCUUUUUCUUUGUGUAACAUCAUUGAAACAUCACUCUUAUUUUUUUUUUCUCAUCUAUGCAUUUACAUUGAAAAAACUUGCAAUUCAAGCAUUCUUUUUUUAAAAACUUCCAUUUUACAUUGAAUUUUCAAAAACCAUUCUAUUUUUAGCAUUGUAGUUUAACUUUUCUUUCUGUAACAUAAUUAAAACAUCAAACUUCUUUUUUCUCAUCUAUGUGUUUUCCUUUGAAAAAAAUUAGACAUAAAGCAUUCUACUUUCAAAAGCUUCCCAUUUUACAUUCAACUUUCAAAAAUCAUCCCAUUUUAGGAUUGUACUUUAACUUUCUUUUCUAUAACAUCAUUGAAACAUCAAACCUUUUUUUUUCUCAUCUAUGUAUUUUACUUUGAAAAAUCUUACAGUUAAAACAUUCUACUUUCAAAAACUUUCCAUUUUACAUUGAGUUUUUUAAAAUAAUCACAUUUUUAGCAUUGUACUUUUUCUUAAUGUAACAUCAUCGAAACAUCAAACUUCUCAUUUCUCAUCUAUGCAUUUUACUUUGAAAAAAGUUUCAAUCAAAAUUUUCAAAAUUUUCCAUUUUACAUUCAAUUUUCUAAAAUCACCCAUUUUUAGCAUUGUACUUUAGCUUUUUCUCAUCUAUGCAUAUACGUUGAAAAAAACUUAUAAUUAAAGCAUUGUACUUUCAAAAAUUUCCAUUUCACAUUCAUUUUUCAUGAAUCAUCCAAUUUUUAUCAUUUUACUUUAACUUUUCCUUAUGUAACAUCUUUGAAACAACAAACUUCUCAUUUCUCAUCUAUGCAUUUUAAUUUGGAAAAACUUACAAUCAAAGUAUUUUAUUUUCAAAAACAUUCAUUUGACACCCGAUUUUCAAAAAUAUCUCGUUUUAAGCAUUGUACCUAAACUUUUUCUCAUGUAUGCAUUUUACUUUGAAAAAACAUUACAAUUAAAGCAAUCUACUAUAAAAAACUUUCAUUUAACAUUCAAUUCUCAAAAAUUAUCCAUUUUUAUCAUUAUAUUUUAACUCUUUCUUUAUGUAACAUCUUUGAAACAUGAAAUUUCUCAUUUCUCAUCUAUGCAAAGCAGAGAAAUGAGAAAUUUCAUCCCCUUUUUGAGAAUUGAACGUCCAGAAUCUUGAAGCAAAGCAGAGAAAUAACGAGUGAUUUUCAUCCCUUUUUUUCUUCGACAUGUCUGCUUUCACCCAAAUCGACGCCUCUCACAGGCGAUGGUCAUAGUAGACGUAGGGUUAGUCUGAGUCCACUAUUUGUUUCCCAGUUUCACAAUCUUGAUGUAUUUUUGAACCUUGUUGGUUUUAUUUUGUUAUGUGGGAAUGCAACAGGUUCUUCUAAGUUCCGAGCUCAUACAGAUAGGUUCUGAAGAGCGUUUAUUGCUAAUUACAGAGGUAUAUUUUGUUUUUUUUCAUCUUCUUGACUUAGGUGGGAUAUAUGAUAUCAACCACCUAAUCCUUGGACUAUGGGGAUUCUUGGAUUAGUUGCUGAAAUUCAUGCAAUGCCAAAUCUCAGUUCUUAUGUUUUCAAUUGAAGUAUGUUUGAAUCUAUGUAUGUGUAGCACAUGUACUAUUGUGAUUUUGUACAUAUUCCCAUGUUGGUUUUCCCUUUUAGAUAUUGUUCAAGAAUCUUGAUUUGGACAUGAAGGACAGGGUUAGGAAAAUUGAAGGAAACCCUGAUUUCUGUUGCUUCAUCUCAACAAAAUACUGUAAAUCAAGGAUGCUUCCAAUGGUAAUGGAUAAGGCAAGGGUAUUAAAGAUAUAUAUAUAUAUAUAUAUAUAUAUAUAUAUAUAUAUAUAUAUAUAUAUUGUCCAGAAGAGUGUUUCACUAGCAACAAUGUCACUUGUUUUAAAGAUAAGAAACUCUGAAUACUCUGGUUUGAAUAAUGCAAGUGAAUCCCUUAAACAUGCCAUGCAACUUGUUAUUGGGAUCUGCAUCAAUUGAGAAGCUUCUGUCCAAAAGGGGCAUCAACAUAAUCUUUUAUCUCCCUUGUUGAAGCACUGAAGAUGAGUGAUGCAAGAGUAUUAUUGUCAGCUCUUCACAAUGUCAUUCACAUUUUAUUCAAGGUCAUUGAUCUUGCUCCUAAUUGCUGCCUAGAAUCCACCUGAGUCGCUUGUUGACUGUUUUAACUGGUAAGUUAUUGGUGACAUGGGGUCUAUGCAUUUGACAAUUCUAUGACCUUUAUUAUAUUUACCUUUGAUGACGUGUCAAAUACAUGCCAUGCCAUGUAACCUCACCAAAACUUACCGGUUGGUUGGUUAAACGGGGAAUAGAAUGUCACCAAAACUCUAUGAUUCUUGGAUGGAACAGGUGACACAGCAUCAUGUUCUGUUCUGAACUUGUUAACUAAUAAUUAAAUAUUCUCAUCUUAUUACAUCAUUUUUAACUCCUUAAUUUAUAUUAAUUUCCCAGGUGUCUAUGCUAUUUAUAUUUAAUGACUGGUUUUCCACUUUUCACAGUGGAAUUUGACAGGGUUUCUUUUUGCCAGUUUGAUUCAACCAUUUGUUUCCCAAUUUCACAUUUACUUGAGGUAUUUUUGGUUUUAAUUUAACUGAAUUUUACUAGAGCUGUGAAGUGCCUACGUUUCACCAAACUUACACUUUUAUUGGGCUUGUGACCUAUUUUUUUAUUUAUUAGAUUAGGGAUUCUGUUAUGGAAUACUAUAAUUGUAGGUUGUUUGUGCCUUUUUAAUUUUCAUGAACACAAACUAAUGUUUUA